rnacentral:rRNA from 1 species
AAAGUUCAAAGAACUUUGAAGAGAGAGUUUAAGAGGACGUGAAACUACUUAGAAGCAAGAAAAAGGAGCUGAAUGUGGCCAGUUGCAUUCAAAGAGGAAGCUUCAGGACUCAGCUUGGAUUUCCAUAACUGAUGUUCAAGGAGUUCCUAGUGCAAUUGCAGCUGAGCCUCACUGGUUGCUUUUGAUUCUGUUGGAGGGCUUCUUAGCUGAUGACCUGUUGAAUAUAGCUGGUUCCUCGCUAGGUUUCCCUCUUGUCAGUGCCAAUUGUGUGGCAAAUGGAGCAUCUGUUCAGCUUGGACUGUUGAUCAGGGUAUAAGUGGCUUCUGAGCUAUGCUUCUGAGUCAUGAAAUGCCUGGGUCUCCAUCUAAGUUUGACAUGAUCCAAACCAGUGCUUGUCAGUCAUCCUUUCAUCCCGUCUUGAAACACGGACCAAGGAGUCCAGCAUGUGUGCAAGCAACUCAGGAUUAAACCUGAAAUGCGCAAUGAAAGUGAUUACUUUGGGAUUUUCACUUGUUGAAACUCACCAUAGCCAUGUCUAUUUUGCAUUGCCAAUUAGGCAUAGGACUAGUGGACAUGCUGGGACCCGAAAGAUGGUGAACUAUGCAUGAGCAGGAUUAAGCCAGAGGAAACUCUGGUGGAAGUCCAUAGCGGUUCUGACGUGCAAAUCGAUUGUCAGACUUGUGUAUAGGGGCGAAAGACUAAUCGAACUAUCUAU